AUUCCAGCUCCAAUAGCGUAUAUUAAAGUUGUUGUGGUUAAAAAGCUCGUAGUUGGAUUUCGGCGGGUAUUGGUUGGUUUGAAUUGCUUCAACACUGACUUUUUUACCCGUGUGUUUUGCCAGAAUUUAGCGGGUGAUCUUCGCCGAUUGUCCGUUGGAACUGGUAGGUUUACUUUGAAAAAAUUAGAGUGCUCAAAGCAAGCUUACUGCUUGAAUAGUUGCGCAUGGAAUAAUAGAAUAGGAAGUCGUUUCUAUUUUGUUGGUUUUCGGAAAUCGACUUAAUGAUUAAGAGGAACAGUUGGGGGCAUUCGUAUUUCAUCGUCAGAGGUGAAAUUCUUGGAUUUAUGAAAGACGAACUUCUGCGAAAGCAUUUGCCAAGGAUGUUUUCAUCA
rnacentral:rRNA from 1 species